rnacentral:rRNA from 1 species
GACGAACGCUGGCGGCGUGCUUAACACAUGCAAGUCGAACGGAAAGGCCCUGCUUUUGUGGGGUGCUCGAGUGGCGAACGGGUGUGUAACACGUGAGUAACCUUCCCUUUACUUUGUGAUGACUUCAGGAAACUGGGGCUAAUACCGGAUAGGAGCGCCUGCUGCAUGGUGGGGGUUGGAAAGUUUCGGCGGUAGUGGAUGGACGGGCGGCUUAUCAGCUUGUGGGUUGGGUAGUCGCUUACCAAGGCUUUGGAGGCUAGCCGGCAUGAGAGGUUGACCGCGGUCAUGGGGACUGCGAGACGGAGCAGUGGCGUACGGGAGGCAGCAGUGGGGAACAUUGUACAACGGGCGGAAGCCUGUUGCAGAGGCGUCCCGAGCGGGAUGACGGCCUUCUUGUGGUAAACCGCUGUAGGUUGUGACGAAGCGUGUGUGACGGUACUGGGUAAAGAAGCACCGGCUAACUACGUG